UAUCAGUUUGUUGGUGAGGUAAUGGCCCACCAAGACUAUUACAGGUACGGGCUCUGAGAGGAGUAGCCCGGAGAUGGGUACUGAGACACGGACCCAGGCCCUAUGGGGCGCAGCAGGCGAGAAAACUUUGCAAUGUGCGAAAGCACGACAAGGUUAAUCCGAGUGGUUUCUGCUAAAGGAACCUUUUGCCAGUCCUAGAAACACUAGUGAAUAAGGGGUGGGCAAGUUCUGGUGUCAGCCGCCGCGGUAAAACCAGCACCUCAAGUGGUCAGGAUGAUUAUUGGGCCUAAAGCAUCCGUAGCCUGCUUUGCCAGUUUUCGGUUAAAUCCAUACGCUUAACGUAUGGGCUGCCGGAAAUACUACAAAGCUAGGGAGUGGGAGAGGUAGACGGUACUCGGGAGGAAGUGGUAAAAUGCUUUGAUCUCUCGAUGACCACCUGUGGCGAAGGCGGUCUACCAGAACACGUCCGACGGUGAGGGAUGAAAGCUGGGGGAGCAAACCGGAUUAGAUACCCGGGUAGUCCCAGCUGUAAACUAUGCAAACUCGGUGAUGCAUUGGCUUGAUGCCAAUGCAGUGCCGCAGGGAAGCCGUUAAGUUUGCCGCCUGGGAAGUACGUACGCAAGUAUGAAACUUAAAGGAAUUGGCGGGGGAGCACCACAAGGGGUGAAG
rnacentral:rRNA from 1 species